AGCGAACGCUGGCGGCAGGCCUAACACAUGCAAGUCGAGCGGCCGUAGCAAUACGGCAGCGGCAGACGGGAGAGUAACACGUGGGAACGUGCCCAUCAGUUCGGAACAACCCAGGGAAACUUGGGCUAAUACCGGAUACGCCCUUACGGGGAAAGAUUUAUCGCUGAUGGAGCGGCCCGCGUCUGAUUAGCUAGUUGGUGAGGUAAUGGCUCACCAAGGCGACGAUCAGUAGCUGGUCUGAGAGGAUGAUCAGCCUCACUGGGACUGAGACACGGCCCAGACUCCUACGGGAGGCAGCAGUGGGGAAUAUUGGACAAUGGGCGCAAGCCUGAUCCAGCCAUGCCGCGUGGAUGAUGAAGGCCCUAGGGUUGUAAAGUCCUUUCGGCGGGGAAGAUAAUGACGGUACCCGCAGAAGAAGCCCCGGCUAAUUUCGUGCCAGCCGCCGCCGUAAAAC
rnacentral:rRNA from 1 species